rnacentral:tRNA from 1 species
GAGAGAGGCCUGCCGGCAAUGAAGACUGCUAAUCUUUAUCCCCUCGGUUGAAAUCCGAAGCUCACUCG